GAGUUUGAUUCUGGCUCAGAACGAACGCUGGCGGCGCGUCUUAAGCAUGCAAGUCGAACGGUAAGGGAGAGCUUGCUCUCCCCAGAGUGGCGGACUGGUGAGUAACGCGUGGGUGACCUGCCCUGAAGAUGGGGAUAGCUAGUAGAAAUAUUAGAUAAUACCGAAUGUGCUCAUUUACAUAAAGGUGAAUGAGGAAAGGAGCUACGGCUCCGCUUCAGGAUGGGCCCGCGUCCCAUUAGCUGGUUGGUGAGGUAAAGGCUCACCAAGGCAACGAUGGGUAUCCGGCCUGAGAGGGUGAACGGACACAUUGGGACUGAGAUACGGCCCAAACUCCUACGGGGGGCAGCAGCUAAGAAUCUUCCGCAAUGGACGAAAGUCUGACGGAGCGACGCCGUGUGAAUGAAGAAGGCCGAAAGGUUGUAAAAUUCUUUUGCAGAUGAAGAAUAAACACAGGAGGGAAUGCCUGUGAGAUGACCGGUAGUCAUGCGAAUAAGCCCCGGUA
rnacentral:rRNA from 1 species